AAUCUCGGCCCAAAAAAGGACGUUUAGUAAUUCUAAAAGGGACUACAAGAUGAAAAACAAUAGUUUUGCCAGUUAAAGUUUGAGAUUCGAUGGUGCCGUAGAUCCGUUUGGUCAUCAGGUGUUACGAGCCACACCCAUGUCUAGCUAGAAUAGUGUGUCAGGCUCAGGCUAGAGAAGAAACAGGGUACAAACUGAUGAAAGAAUUAUCAUACCGAGGGAAUUCACUCAGAACUAACAAGAAUGAUAACGUGCUCCGACUGGAGCGGUUUAGGAACUGCUGGAAACCUCUAGGGGAAUAAAGAUGGAAUGACUUCUAAUUUUUAGGUCCGUAUGGUUUGAAAUACUUGCACACAAACCGCCCGAAAGCAUUCCUAGAAAUCUCGGCCCAAAAAAUGACGUUUAGUAAUUCUAAAUGGGAAUACAAGAUGAAAAACAAUAGUUUUGGCAGUUAAAGUUUGAGAUUCGAUGGUGUCGUAGAUCCAUUUGGUCAUCAGGUGUUACGAGCCACACCCAUGUCUAGCUAGAAUAGUGUGUCAGGCUCAGGCUAGAGAAGAAACGGGGAACAAACUGAUGAAAGAAUUAUCAUAACGAGGGAAUUCACUCAGAACUAACAAGAAUGAUAACGUGCUCCGACUGGAGCGGUUUAGGAACUUCUGGAAGCCUCUAGGGGAAUAAAGAUGGAAUGACUUCUAAUUUUUAGGUCCGUACGAUUUGAAAUACUUGCACACAAACCCCAAGAAAGCGUUUCUGGAAAUCUCGGCCCAAAAAAGGACGUUUAGUAAUUCUAAAAGGGACUACAGGAUGAAAAACAAUAGUUUUGCCAGUUAAAGUUUGAGAUUCGAUGGUGCCGUAGAUCCGUUUGGUCAUCAGGUGUUACGAGCCACACCCAUGUCUAGCUAGAAUAGUGUGUCAGGCUCAGGCUAGAGAAGAAACAGGGUACAAACUGAUGAAAGAAUUAUCAUACCGAGGGAAUUCACUCAGAACUAACAAGAAUGAUAACGUGCUCCGACUGGAGCAGUUUAGGAACGGCUUGAAGGCUCUAGGGGAAUAAAGAUGGAAUGACUUCUAAUUUUUAGGUCCGUAUGAUUUGAAAUACUUGCACACAAACCCCGAGAAAGCGUUCCUGGAAAUCUCGGCCCAAAAAGGACGUUUAGUAAUUCUAAAAGGGACUACAAGAUGAAAAACAAUAGUUUUGGCAGUUAAAGUUUGAGAAUCGAUGGUGCCGUAGAUCCGUUUGGUCAUCAGGUGUUACGAGCACACCCAUGUCUAGCUUGAAUAGUGUGUCAGGCUCAGUCUAGAGAAGAAACGGGGAACAAACUGAUGAAAGAAUUAUCAUACCGAGGGAAUUCACUCAGAAUUAACAAGAAUGAUAACGUGCUCCGACUUGAGCGGUUUAGGAACAGCUGGAAGGCUCUAGGGGAAUAAAGAUGGAAUGACUUCUAAUUUUUAGGUCCGUAUGAUCUGAAAUACUUGCACAAAAACCUCGAGAAAGCGUUCCUGGAAAUCUUGGCCCAAAAAAGGACGUUUAGUAAUUCUAAAAGGGACUACAAGAUGAAAAAUAAUAGUUUUGCCAGUUAAAGUUUGAGAUUCGAUGGUGUCGUAGAUCCGUUUGGUCAUCAGGUGUUACGAGCCACACCCAUGUCUAGCUAGAAUAGUGUGUCAGGCUCAGGCUGGAGAAGAAACAGGGUACAAACUGAUGAAAGAAUUAUCAUACUGAGGGAAUUCACUCAGAACUAACAAGAAUGAUAACGUGCUCCGACUGGAGCGGUUUAGGAACUGCUGGAAAGGUCUAGGGGAAUAAAGAUGGAAUGACUUCUAAUUUUUAGGUCCGUAUGGUUUGAAAUACUUGCACACAAACCGCACGAAAGCAUUCCUAGAAAUCUCGGCCCAAAAAAUGACGUUUAGUAAUUCUAAAUGGGACUAUAGGAUGAAAAACAAUAGUUUUGGCAGUUAAAGUUUGAGAUUCGAUGGUGCCGUAGAUCCGUUUGGUCAUCAGGUGUUACGAGCCACACCCAUGUCUAGCUAGAAUAGUGUGUCAGGCUCAGGCUAGAGAAGAAACGGGGAACAAACUGAUGAAAGAAUUAUCAUAACGAGGGAAUUCACUCAGAACUAACAAGAAUGAUAACGUGCUCCGACUGGAGCGGUUUAGGAACUGCUGGAAGGCUCUAGGGGAAUAAAGAUGGAAUGACUUCUAAUUUUUAGGUCCGUAUGAUUUGAAAUACUUGCACACAAACCCCGAGAAAGCGUUCCUGGAAAUCUCGGCCCAAGAAAGGACGUUUAGUAAUUCUAAAAGGGACUACAGGAUGAAAAACAAUAGUUUUGGCAGUUAAAGUUUGAGAUUCGAUGGUGCCGUAGAUCCGUUUGGUCAUCAGGUGUUACGAGCCACACCCAUGUCUAGCUUGAAUAGUGUGUCAGGCUCAGGAUAUAGAAGAAACAGGGAACAAACUGAUGAAAG
rnacentral:lncRNA from 1 species